GUAGGGAAUAUUGGGCAAUGGAUGCAAGUCUGACCCAGCCAUCCCGCGUGCCGGAAGAAGGCCCUCAGGGUUGUAAACGGCUUUUGACGGUGAAGAAUCGACAGGAUGCGUCCUGUUUUGACGGUAGCCGUUCAAUAAGCACCGGCUAACUCCGUGCCAGCAGCCGCGGUAAUACGGAGGGUGCGAGCGUUGUCCGGAUUUAUUGGGUUUAAAGGGUGCGUAGGCUGGAAGGUCAGUCAGCGGUGAAAAGCUGUCGCUUAACGAUAGUCUUGCCGCAGAUACUUCCUUUCUUGGAUGAGGAGGAGGCCACUGGAACGGAUGGUGUAGCGGUGAAAUGCAUAGAUAUCAUCCAGAACACCGAUUGCGAAGGCAGGUGGCUGUACCUUAAUCGACGCUGAUGCACGAAAGCAUGGGGAGCAAACAGGAUUAGAUACCCUAGUAGUCC
rnacentral:rRNA from 1 species